rnacentral:misc_RNA from 1 species
GAUGAAGAACGCAGCGAAAUGCGAUAAGUAAUGUGAAUUGCAGAAUUCAGUGAAUCAUCGAAUCUUUGAACGCACAUUGCGCCCCUUGGUAUUCCGGGGGGCAUGCCUGUUCGAGCGUCAUUACAACCCUCAAGCUCUGCUUGGUCUUGGGCGUCACCGGUCCCCGGUGUGCCUUAAAAUCAGUGGCGGCGCCAUCUGGCUCUAAGCGUAGUACAUACUCUCGCUACAGACGUCCGGUGGAUGCUGGCCAGCAACCCCCAAUUUAUCAAGGUUGACCUCGGAUCAGGUAGGGAUACCCGCUGAACUUAAGCAUAUCAUAAGCGGAGGA